GAUGAACGCUGGCGGCGUGCCUAAUACAUGCAAGUCGAGCGAACAGACGAGGAGCUUGCUCCUCUGACGUUAGCGGCGGACGGGUGAGUAACACGUGGAUAACCUACCUAUAAGACUGGGAUAACUUCGGGAAACCGGAGCUAAUACCGGAUAACAUGUUGAACCGCAUGGUUCAACAGUGAAAGACGGUUUUGCUGUCACUUAUAGAUGGAUCCGCGCCGCAUUAGCUAGUUGGUAAGGUAACGGCUUACCAAGGCAACGAUGCGUAGCCGACCUGAGAGGGUGAUCGGCCACACUGGAACUGAGACACGGUCCAGACUCCUACGGGAGGCAGCAGUAGGGAAUCUUCCGCAAUGGGCGAAAGCCUGACGGAGCAACGCCGCGUGAGUGAAGAAGGUCUUCGGAUCGUAAAACUCUGUUAUUAGGGAAGAACAAAUGUGUAAGUAACUAUGCACGUCUUGACGGUACCGAAUCAGAAAGCCACGCUAACUACGUG
rnacentral:rRNA from 1 species